CAAUAGCGUAUAUUAAAGCUGUUGCGGUUAAAAAGCUCGUAGUUGGAUUUCUGUCAAGGACAACUGGUCCGCCCUCCGGGUGAGCACAUAGUUUGGUCUUGGCAUCUUGCUGGAAGCUGUUGCUGCGCUUGGUUGUGUGGUGCAGCUUUCAGCACUUUCACUUUGAGGAAAUUGGAGUGUUUCAAGCAGGCACAUGCCUUUGGACACAGUAGCAUGGAAUAAUUAGAUUGGGCUUUUGCUCCAACUUGUUGGUUCCUGGAGCUGAGGUGAGAAUCAAUGGGGAUUGUUGGGGGCAUCCGAAUUUAGCCGUCAGAGGUGAAAUUCUUGGAUCUGCUAAAGACGGACAACUGCGAAAGCGUUUGCCCAGGAUGUUUUCAUUGA
rnacentral:rRNA from 1 species